rnacentral:lncRNA from 1 species
ACCGUAUUAAAAAGACGAAAAAACAACAGCCCGAUUAGAGACAACUGUCAAGGUUUCAGUUAUAAGAUAUAAAAAACAUAUGUGACAAUGGUACCUCAGAAAGGGGGGAGUAUACUCGGUUCUAGACCUUUUACUAUACAAAUAAAGGCAACAGUAGUAUACCGCUGUUCAAAACUCAUAAAUCUAUGGACAAAAAACAAAAUCGGG